rnacentral:lncRNA from 1 species
UCUUUUCCAAUGCAGUUCUUCAUGAUGCUCCAUAAAUUGAGGCUAUAGUUUGGCUUGUAUGGUAUUCUGGUUCUCUUUUCCUUUUUGGUCUCCUCCAGCUGAUGCUUGUACUGUUCAUCAAGGCUGAUGUCACUGCUGGCUCCACUGAUAUUGCUGCCAGUACGUUUGUGGCCCAAAUUUUCAGGCAUGGUGAUGAUCUCAG